AAUAAACAUGUUGUGGGUCCAAAUUAACCACAGCCUUGGUAAUUUAUAUUGGUACGGUUGUGGUUAAUUUGGACCCACAACAUGUUUAUUUUACAUAA